rnacentral:tRNA from 1 species
GACUAGAUGGCUGAGUGAAGCAUUAAAUUUUUAAUUUAAAAACAACCUUUUGGUUUCUUGUUA